rnacentral:tRNA from 1 species
GCCCCUAAAGGAUAACAGUAAUCCGUUGGUCUUAGGCACCAAAAACUCUUGGUGCAAAUCCAAGUAGCGGCU